rnacentral:rRNA from 1 species
CCUGUUUAACAAAAACAUGUCUUUUUGAGUUAAUUUUAAAGUCUGACCUGCCCACUGAAAUUUUUAAAUGGCCGCAGUAUUYUAACUGUGCAAAGGUAGCAUAAUCAUUAGUYUUUUAAUUGAAGGCUGGUAUGAACGGUUGGACGAGGUAUAAGCUGUUUCAUGUAAAUUUAUAAUAGAAUUUUAUAUUUUAGUCAAAAAGCUAAAAUUUAAUUAAAAGACGAGAAGACCCUAUAAAUCUUUAUAUUUUAUGUUGUUUAGAUUUUUUGGAUUUGUUUUAUUUUUAUAAUUUAGAAUAUUUUGUUGGGGUGAUAUUAAAAUUUAAUGAACUUUUAAUUAAUUAGAAUCAUUAAUUUAUGUUUUAUUGAUCCAUUASUAGUGAUUAUAAGAUUAAGUUACUUUAGGGAUAACAGCGUAAUUUUUUUGGAGAGUUCAUAUCGAUAAAAAAGUUUGCGACCUCGAUGUUGGAUUAAGAUAUAAUUUUAGGUGUAGCCGCUUAAAU